GGUUAAGCGACUAAGCGUACACGGUGGAUGCCCUGGCAGUCAGAGGCGAUGAAGGACGUGCUAAUCUGCGAAAAGCGCCGGCGAGGUGAUAUGAACCUUUGACCCGGCGAUGUCCGAAUGGGGAAACCCAGUGUGUUCCGACACACUAUCGUUAACUGAAUACAUAGGUUAACGAGGC
rnacentral:rRNA from 1 species